AACGAACGCUGGCGGUAUGCUUAACACAUGCAAGUCGAACGAACAAAAUUGGGGCUUGCUCCAAUUUUAGUGAGUGGCAAACGGGUGAGUAACACGUGGGAAUCUACCUAUCAGUACGGAAUAACAUUUGGAAACAGAUGCUAAUACCGUAUAUUCUCCAAGGAGGAAAGAUUUAUCGCUGAUAGAUGAGCCCGCGUAAGAUUAGGUAGUUGGUAGGGUAAUGGCCUACCAAGCCGACGAUCUUUAGCUGGUUUGAGAGGAUGACCAGCCACACUGGGACUGAGACACGGCCCAGACUCCUACGGGAGGCAGCAGUGGGGAAUAUUGGACAAUGGGCGAAAGCCUGAUCCAGCAAUACCGCGUGAAUGAUGAAGGCCUUAGGGUUGUAAAGUUCUUUUAGUUGGAAAGAUAAUGACGGUACCAACGGAAAAAGCCCCGGCUAACUCCGUGCCAGCCGCCGCCGUAA
rnacentral:rRNA from 1 species